UACGUAGGGUGCGAGCGUUAAUCGGAAUUACUGGGCGUAAAGCGUGCGCAGGCGGUUCGUUAAGUUCGUUGUGAAAGCCCCGGGCUCAACCUGGGAACUGCAAUGGAAACUGGCGGGCUUGAGUGCGGCAGAGGGGGGUGGAAUUCCGCGUGUAGCAGUGAAAUGCGUAGAGAUGCGGAGGAACACCGAUGGCGAAGGCAGCCCCCUGGGCCGACACUGACGCUCAGGCACGAAAGCGUAGGGAGCAAACAGG
rnacentral:rRNA from 1 species